rnacentral:rRNA from 1 species
UACGUAGGGUGCAAGCGUUAAUCGGAAUUACUGGGCGUAAAGUGUGCGCAGGCGGCCAUGCAAGUCGAGUGUGAAAGCCCCGGGCUUAACUUGGGAAUUGCGCUCGAAACUACGUGGCUGGAGUGUGGCAGAGGAAGGUGGAAUUCCACGUGUAGCGGUGAAAUGCGUAGAGAUGUGGAGGAACACCAAUGGCGAAGGCAGCCUUCUGGGCCAACACUGACGCUCAUGCACGAAAGCGUGGGGAGCAAACAGG